UAAAUAGCUAGGCUAGCUUUAGCUAGUCGCUGGCUUCUUAGAGGGACUAUUAGCUUAAGCUAAUAGAAGUUAGAGGCAAUAAUAGGUCUAUAAUACCCUUAGAUAUUCUAGGCUGUAUAUAUACUAUACUAAUAGAGCCAACGAGUUCUUUCUCUUGGCUAGAAGGUCUA
rnacentral:rRNA from 1 species